AGCGAACGCUGGCGGCGUACUUAACACAUGCAAGUCGAACGAGGAGCUUCGGUGUAGCAAUACAUCGGAGCUUCUAGUGGCGUACGGGUGAGUAACACGUGGGCAGCCUGCCCUUGAGUCCGGGAUACCCUCUCGAAAGGGAGGCUAAUACUGGAUACGUUCUUCGGAUCGCGAGAUCUGGAGAGGAAAGGUGGCGAAAGCUGCCGCUCUUGGAGGGGCNCGCGGCCUAUCAGCUAGUUGGUGAGGUCACGGCUCACCAAGGCUAUGACGGGUAGCUGGUCUGAGAGGACGACCAGCCACACGGGAACUGAGACACGGUCCCGACUCCUACGGGAGGCAGCAGUGGGAAUUUUCCGCAAUGGCGAAAGCCUGACGGAGUGACGCCGCGUGGGGA
rnacentral:rRNA from 1 species